rnacentral:rRNA from 1 species
UACAGAGGUGGCAAGCGUUGUUCGGAAUUACUGGGCGUAAAGGGCGCGUAGGCGGCCUACUAAGUCAGACGUGAAAUCCCCCGGCUUAACCUGGGAACUGCGUCUGAUACUGGAAGGCUUGAGGAUGGGAGAGGGAUGUAGAAUUCCAGGUGUAGCGGUGAAAUGCGUAGAUAUCGGCAGGAACACCCGUGGCGGAAGCGGCCACCUAGCCCGCACCUGACGCUGAGGCGCGACAGCGUGGGGAGCGAACGGG